GAGUUUGAUCCUGGCUCAGGAUUAACGCUGGCGGCAUGCCUAACACAUGCAAGUCGACCGCUGUGCUUGCACAGAGGGGCGAACGGGUGAGUAACACGUAUCUAACCUACCUUUUAGUCUGGAAUAACUGUGGGAAACUGCAGCUAAUGCCGGAUAGAAGUCCAUUGGAAUCACUGGAGGACCAAAGAUCCGUUUGGAUCGCUAUUAGAUGGGGAUGCGGCGUAUUAGUUAGUUGGUGAGGUAAUGGCUCACCAAGACGAUGAUACGUAGCCGGCCUGAGAGGGUGAACGGCCACACUGGAACUGAGACACGGUCCAGACUCCUACGGGGGGCAGCAGUAGGGAAUCUUCCACAAUGGGCGAAAGCCUGAUGGAGCAAUGCCGCGUGAGUGAUGAAGGUCUUCGGAUCGUAAAGCUCUGUUGUAAGGGAAGAACGGUAUAUAUAGGAAAUGAUAUAUGCGUGACGGUACCUUACCAGAAAGCCACGGCUAACUACGUGCCAGCAGCCGCGGUAAUACGUAGGUGGCAAGCGUUAUCCGGAUUUACUGGGCGUAAAGAGGGAGCAGGUGGUUCUGUAAGUCAGAGGUUAAAGACCGGAGCUCAACUCCGUGUAUGCCUUUGAAACUACAGGACUAGAGAAUAAGAGAGGUUAGUGGAAUUUCAUGUGUAGCGGUGGAAUGCGUAGAUAUAUGAAGGAACACCAGUGGCGAAGGCGACUAACUGGCUUAUUUCUGACACUCAGUCCCGAAAGCGUGGGUAGCAAAUAGGAUUAGAUACCCUAGUAGUCCACGCCGUAAACGAUGAGUAUUAGGUGUCGGGGUUUCUCGGUGCCACAGCUAACGCAAUAAAUACUCCGCCUGGGAAGUAUGCUCGCAAGAGUGAAACUCAAAGGAAUUGACG
rnacentral:rRNA from 1 species